GCCUUCAUGAAGCCGGAAUUGCUAGUAAUGGCAGGUCAGCAUACUGCCGUGAAUACGUUCCCGGGCCUUGUACACACCGCCCGUCACACCAUGAGGGUUGGGAAUACCCGAAGCCUGUGAGCUAACUUUUAGAGGCAGCAGUCGAAGGUAGAAUCAAUGAUUGGGGUGAAGUCGUAACAAGGUAUC
rnacentral:rRNA from 1 species